rnacentral:rRNA from 1 species
AUAUCAAUAAGCGGAGGAAAAGAAACCAACCGGGAUUGCCCCAGUAACGGCGAGUGAAGCGGCAACAGCUCAGAUUUGAAAUCUGGCCCUCGCUCGGAGGGUCCGAGUUGUCAUCUGCAGAGGAUGCUUCGGGCAACGCCGCGCUCCAACCCGCUUGGGACAGCGGGCCGCAGAGGGUGAGAGUCCCGUCCAGGACCGCGUGCCGCCCCCGUGUGAAGCUCCUUCGACGAGUCGAGUUGUUUGGGAAUGCAGCUCAAAGCGGGUGGUAAAUUCCAUCUAAGGCUAAAUACGGGCCAGAGACCGAUAGCGCACAAGUAGAGUGAUCGAAAGAUGAAAAGCACUUUGAAAAGAGAGUUAAACAGUAUGUGAAAUUGUUGAAAGGGAAGCGCUGGCGACCAGAACCUGCGGGCGGCGGUUCCCCCGGUCCCCGUCGACCGGGCUCCUCCGUCGCCCCCAGGCCAACAUCGGUUCGGGUGGCCGGUGAAAGGCCCCGGGAACGUAUCUACCUCCGGGUCGACUUACAGCCCGGGGUGCCAUGCGGCCCACCCGGACCGAGGAACGCGCUGCGGCGAGGAUGUUGGCGUAAUGGUGGUCAGCGGCCCGUCUUGAAACACGGACCAAGGAGUCUAACAUCCAUGCGAGUGUUUGGGUGUCAAACCCCCGGCGCGGAAUGAAGGUGAACGGAGGUGAGAGCCCCGGCCGGCGACGGCGGGGGCGCAUCAUCGACCGAUCCGGAUGUCUUCGGAUGGAUUUGAGUAAGAGCAUGGCUGUUGGGACCCGAAAGAUGGUGAACUAUGCCCGGAUAGGGUGAAGCCAGAGGAAACUCUGGUGGAGGCUCGCAGCGGUUCUGACGUGCAAAUCGAUCGUCGAAUCUGGGUAUAGGGGCGAAAGACCAAUCGAACCGUCUGGUAGCUGGUUCCUGCCGAAGUUUCCCUCAGGAUAGCAGUAACGGAAGCAGUUUUAUGAGGUAAAGCGAAUGAUUAGAGGCCUUGGGGUUGAAACAACCUUAACCUAUUCUCAAACUUUAAAUAUGUAAGAAGUCCUUGUUGCCCCGGUGAACGUGGACCUUCGAAUGCGUCGUUACUAGUGGGCCAUUUUUGGUAAGCAGAACUGGCGAUGCGGGAUGAACCGAACGCGGGGUUAAGGUGCCGGAAUGCACGCUCAUCAGACACCACAAAAGGUGUCAAUGCAUCCAGACAGCCGGACGGUGGCCAUGGAAGUCGGAAUCCGCUUAGGAGUGUGUAACCUGUUGCACGCGAUCGGUUCUAAAAGAAUAUCUUUAGAACUCAGCUCAAACCCCCCCCCAUUUGUGGGAGGAGGGGGGGGAGCGAUGGCUCUACUCAAACUGGGAUCUAUAAUGGUGACCGGUUGUAGGUCGUUUUGACCUAUCGACAGACUAAAAGGAGCCGCUCACAGCGUUAAAAAAUCACCGUUGUGGGGAAGAUAUAGUCGAUCGUGAUCUCGGAUCGAGAAUCAGCAAGCGAGAACAACUCACCGGCCGAAUGCAUUGGCCCUGAAAAUGGAUGGCGCUUAAGCGUGCUACCUAUACCCCGCCGUCGGGGUUGAAAUGAGGCCCCGACGAGUAGGCAGGCGUGGGGGUCGGUGACGAAGCCUCGGGGGUGACCCUGGGUCGAACGACCCCCAGUG